AUGUUUAAGGACAAUGAUGAUCAUAUUGGUUCGCUCGUCGUGCUUAAUGGCAAUAUCGUUAUCGUUGCCUUGACGAUUCAUCCAACUUUAAAAUUCUGAGUCCUUAAUCAUAACUGGUUUUUUACUAGUUUAUUAAAUUUUAUGCAAAAUAAGGCGGUGAUGAUUGUAUUGGUUCGCUCGUCUUGCAUAAUGGCAAUACUAUUAUUGUUGCCUUGACGAUUAAUUCAUCCAACUUUAACAUUUUGAGUCCUAAAUGAUAGUUACCUUUCUUUAUUUGUUUGUUAAUUUUUUUGUGCAAAAUAAGGACGAUGAUGAUCAUAUUGGUUCUUUCGUCGUACUUAAUGGCAAUAUUGUUGUUGUUGUCUUGAUGAUUUAUCCAACAUUAAAAUUCUGAGUUCUUAAUCAUAGUUUUUUUUAUUAGUUAAUCAUAUUUAUGCAAAAUAAGGAUGAUGAUCAUAUUGGUUCGCUCGUCAUGCUUAAUGGCAACAUCGUUUGUGUUGCCUUGACGAAUUAUCCAACUUUAAAAUUAUGAGUCUGGAAUAAUAGUUGAUUUUCUUUAUUUAUUUAUUAUUUUUUAUGCAAAAUAAAGAUAAUGAUGAUCAUAUUGGUUCGUCCGUCGUGCUUAAUAGCAAUAUCGUUAUUGUUGCCUUGGCGAUUCAUCCAACUUUAAAAUUCUAAGUCCUUAAUCAAAGCUGGUAUUUCAUUAGUUCAUUAAGUUUUAUGCAAUAUAAGGAUGGUGAUGAUCGUAUUAAUUUGCUCGUCAUGCUAAAUAGCAAUAUUGUUACUGUUACCUUGACGAUUCAUUCAACUUUAACAUUCAGAGUCCUAAAUUAUAGUUAUCUUUCUUUAUUUGUAUAUUGAAAAAUUUAUUCAAAAUAAGACGAUGAUGAUCAUAUUGGUUCGCUCGUCGUGCUUAAUGGCAAUAUCGUUAUUGUUGCCUUGACGAUUCAUCCAACUUUAAAAUUCUGAGUCCUUAAUCAUAGCUUGUUAUUAUUAGUUUAUUAAAUUUUAUGCAAGAUAAGGAUGGUGAUGAUCGUAUUGGUUCGCUUGUCGUGCAUAAUGACAAUACUAUUAUUAUUGCCUUAACGAUUCAUCCAACUUUAAUUCUGACUCCUAAAUCAUAGUUACCUUUCUUUAUUUGUUUGUUAAAAUAUUUAUGCAAAAUAAAGAUGAUGAUGAUCAUAUUGGUUCACUUAUCGUGCUUAAUGGCAAUAUUAUUAUUGUUGCCUUGAGGAUUCAUCCAACGUUAAAAUUCUGAGUUCUUAAUCAAAGUUGUUUUUUAUUGGUUUAUUAAAUUUAUACAAAAUAAGGAUGAUUAUCAUGUUGGUUCGCUCGUCAUACUUAAUGGCAACAUCGUUUGUGUUGUCUUGACGAGUUAUCCAACUUCAAAAUUAUGAGUUCGGAAUAAUUGUUGAUUUUCUUUAUUUUUUUGAAUUUUUUUAUACAAAAUAUGGACGACGAUGAUCAUAUUGGUUCGCUUAUCGUGCUUAAUGGCAAUAUCGUUUGUCUUCCCUUGAUGAAUUAUACAACUUCAAAAUUAUGAGUCCGGAAUAAUAGUUGAAUUUUUUUUAUUUGUUUAUUAAAAAAUUUAUGUAAAAUAAGGACGAUGAUGAUUAUAUUGGUUCGCCCGUCGUGCUUAAUGACAAUAUCGUUAUUGU
rnacentral:lncRNA from 1 species